rnacentral:rRNA from 1 species
UACGAAGGGGGCUAGCGUUGCUCGGAUUGACUGGGCGUAAAGGGCGCGUAGGCGGUUCGUACAGUCAGACGUGAAAUUCCUGGGCUCAACCUGGGGGCUGCGUUUGAUACGUGCGGACUUGAGUGCGGAAGAGUGUCGUGGAAUUCCCAGUGUAGAGGUGAAAUUCGUAGAUAUUGGGAAGAACACCGGUGGCGAAGGCGGCGACCUGGUCCGAUACUGACGCUGAGGCGCGAAAGCGUGGGGAGCAAACAGG